AACUCUCAUGCUGAUGUUUAGUGUCUAGCUUUUUGUAAUCUCACCAUGUUGGUUAGCCUUGCAAGCUCUGAAGGCUCCUAGUGUCAUGUGGUUUCUUUUCUGAUUCGGUUCUACCAUACCGCUCUCUUGGUCCAGUGUCACCAAAUUGUGUCUGACUUUACUUUCUCAUGGUUGCAUCAACUUCCUGGGUACCUUAUCAGAACAAGUAUGAGGGGUGUCUUUCAUCCACUACCAUCGAUCCCGGAUUCGUCCAACAAUUUCUCAUCACUCUGUACACACAAGUAAACAAUAAAAACAAAAUACUACAACAACAGAAGCAAAAAACGAAAGCAAAAAAAUGAUGAAGGAAAACAUGAACAAAAUGAAAACGAAAUAAAACAUGAAAGGAAAAACUCCCCCACACCUGAACUAAACAUUGACCUUAAUGUUUAAAUCCAGAUACAAAGGGGACUCACAGCGACUACUGUUGUUUUACUGCACUUGUGUGGUUUCCUUCCAUUUUGAGGUGUUUGUGACUUUGC
rnacentral:lncRNA from 1 species